GGAGGCCAGUCUAAACUACAAAAGAUUCUAAAGGAAAAGCACUUGAUUAAUGUUCUUUUUGGUUGGGCUUGGGAUUGAACCUGGCGCUUGCUUUAUGCAUGCUAGGCAAAGCCUUUUCAUCAUAGCCAAAUAUAGAAAAACUGUAGAUGUUUGUUCUGCAGAGCGAACAUGUAAAUACACUGUGUGCACAGAGAGACAUGUGCAGACAUGGAGUGAAAGCAGUAUGUGAGGGUGUUUGGUCACGGACACCCUGACUGAAAGAGCGAGACACAAGGACAGGUUUGAUCCCACCUGCAUAAUGUACCCAUAAUGUAUGAAUUCACAAAGAUAAGAGCAAACUGGUGCUUGCCAGGCUCUGACUACACAGAAGCUGUUAAAGGAGUCUUGAGUUCCGCUGUAGGGAAUUGGAAGACUUGAGGUCAGAAAGAGGAAGUGAUUGUCCGUAGUGCAGAAUAUUAAAUACUACUGUAUCAAAGGGUUUUUGCUAUGUGGACUUCACUUCAAUAAAAAACAGUUGCUUGCUUUAUA
rnacentral:lncRNA from 14 species